CCGGAUGGGCAGUUGAGGAGGAAGCGGAGCAGCCGCGGGGACUUUCUUUCAGGCGGCGAGGCCGCGGAGGGCGCGGGGUGGAGGGUACGAGCGCGCGGAAAGGAAUGAAGAACGCACCUGGCAGCUGAGGAUCGUGGCCGUUUCUAGAGGCGCCUGAGCCGCGUGCGCAGGCGUGGAGCGUCCGGGCGGGGGCGGGCCCUUAAAGGGGCCGCAGCGGAGGAUCCGGGAGUCCGCGGAGAACCCGGGCCCGCGGCGCUAUGGCUCACGUCGGCUCUCGCAAGCGCUCGAGGAGUCGCAGCCGGUCCCGGGGGCGAGGGUCGGAAAAGAAAAGGAAGAAGAGCAGUAAGGACGCCCCGAGAAGCUGCUCGGCUUCUAGAUCCCGAAGCCGCAAGGCCAGCACCACCUCCUCUGGGGCGGAGGCCUCACCUUCUCCCUGCGUCACAGAGAGAAGCAAACACAAGGCCCGGAGGAGACCACGAUCCAGCCCCUCCUCCUCUCCUUCCAGUUCUUCCAGCUGCUCUUCCUCCAGCGAUGGCCGGAAGAAGCGGGGGAAGCACAAGGACAAGAAGAGGAAGAAAAAGAAGAAAAGGAAGAAGAAGCUGAAGAAGAGGGACAAGGAUAAGGCCAAGGUGCAGCAGACCGAGGCUCUGCCCGGACCCUCGCUGGACCAGUGGCACAGAGCAGCCGAGGAGGACGAGGACGGCCCAGUCCUGACGGACGAGCAGAAGUCCCGCAUCCAAGCCAUGAAGCCCAUGACCAAGGAGGAGUGGGAUGCCCGGCAGAGCGUCAUCCGCAAGGUGGUGGACCCGGAGACAGGACGCACCAGGUGGGAAGCCGGGCCCCACGGCGGCACCUGGGCGCCCUGGUCCCAGACCGGCACUCAGGAGGAGAGGUGGUGGCAGCUUCUGCUGCUCUAAAAGGACCGAGGAUGAGGGAGAAAAAGGAGUCACUCGUUGAUGGGACUUCUCAGGCCAUUGCUGCCCAUUCCUCAGAGCAGGCGACUGCAGGGGCUGGAAGGGCCUUGGGCGGGGGUCUUCAAAGAGCCGCUGUUGGCUGGUCCGAUGGCAGAGCCCACCGGGCCGCCCUCAUCCUUGUCCCAAGGGUGGGAGGGAGGGGUGGGAGCGGCCAGGCUCCGCCUACUCGAGAUGGUGGGGGCCUGAGGCCUGGCACCCCUCUGCUGGAUGCUUCUGGUUCUGUUGCUCUGGCCUCUAAGUUAGAGGCUCAGCCUCCCUCCCCUCCUCUAGGCUCAUUAAGGGAGACGGUGAGGUCUUAGAGGAAAUCGUAACCAAGGAACGACACAGAGAGAUCAACAAGCAAGCCACCCGAGGGGAUGGUCUGGCCUUCCAGAUGCGAGCAGGGCUGCUGCCC